UACGAAGGGGGCUAGCGUUGCUCGGAAUCACUGGGCGUAAAGCGCACGUAGGCGGAUUGCUAAGUCAGGGGUGAAAUCCUGGAGCUCAACUCCAGAACUGCCUUUGAUACUGGCGAUCUCGAGUCCGGGAGAGGUGAGUGGAACUGCGAGUGUAGAGGUGAAAUUCGUAGAUAUUCGCAAGAACACCAGUGGCGAAGGCGGCUCACUGGCCCGGUACUGACGCUGAGGUGCGAAAAGCGUGGGGGAGCAAACAGG
rnacentral:rRNA from 1 species